UGAGGAGGCCAUUCGGCCGCCGGCCCUCCGGCGCUUGCGCGACGGAGGGCGGGAGGAAAGUCCGGGCUCCGCAGGGCAGGGUGCCGGGUAAUCCCCGGUGGGGGCGACCCCGAGGACAGUGCCACAGAAAAGACACCGCCAUCCGGCCUGCCAGGCCGGGCGGCAAGGGUGAAAUGGUGAGGUAAGAGCUCACCGCGCGCCGGGCGACCGGCGCGGCACGGCAAACCCCACCCGGAGCAAG
rnacentral:RNase_P_RNA from 1 species